UACGAAGGGUGCAAGCGUUACUCGGAAUUACUGGGCGUAAAGCGUGCGUAGGUGGUUCGUUAAGUCUGAUGUGAAAGCCCUGGGCUCAACCUGGGAAUGGCAUUGGAUACUGGCGACCUAGAGUGCGGUAGAGGGGUGUGGAAUUCCCGGUGUAGCAGUGAAAUGCGUAGAUAUCGGGAGGAACACCAGUGGCGAAGGCGAGUCUCUGGGAUGAUGCUGACGCUGAGGCGCGAAAGCCAGGGGAGCAAACGGG
rnacentral:rRNA from 1 species